AUAUGACUGGAAACUAUAAUCAUGGCUAAGAUUGUAUAACAUGCAAAUAUCAGACCUACAGGUAUUAUCAUUAUUAUCUAUAAAAUUCAACAGUGACUGAGUUCUCUUUUCCAAGAUAUUCUACCAACUCUAAAUUUCCUGAAGUCUGCCCUUGUGUGCUGGUGAGAUGGUGUGACAAUAACUUCUUGUUUGCCCUGGGUCCAUUCCCCUGCUCUGCUCUGUACAGAAGAAAAUGACCUCUGCAAAUCUAUUUUCCAGGCCUCCUUUGCCAGCUAGGUUCAAGUUAGAUAAGCUUGUGAGUGAAAUAAGUGAUGGGAAAGUAGGAACUGAAGAUCUGCUGGGCUAGCCGGGACUAUCUGCCAGGAAGUGCUGCAGGGUGAAGGCUGGUAAAGGAUGACGCCUAAUCAUUCUUGCUUAACGGACUCCUAAUCUCUGCUUGCUUCUUCACCACCACUAAAACCAGAAGUGGGUUAGAGCCUCUGCAUCUCUAGGGCUCAUGCUGGGUACAGUAUCUAUUAUUAAACCAAGAAACAAGUUCAUCUCUGGAAAGAAGAAUUUGGCCCAAGCCCUCCUCCUCAGGGGCUCAUCCAUUGAGCAUGUACUCUUUGAAGCUCUGCUCCCCACUAGGGGGUUCCUGUGAAUGGAACAAGAUCCCUGCCUAAUGGGGGCCCAUAAGAAUGUGCUCUAGCUGUUAUUCCCAUCCAUGAUAUGCAGUGAAAUGCAGUCACACUGAUUUCACUAGUUUGAAGUUGUUUCCACUUCCUCUGUACUUGGGCACUUACCCUCACUGCAUUGCUUGGACUUUCUCAACCUGACUCAUCCACUUGGGAGUGAUGGAAACCCUGGAGCCAGAGGAAUGAAAACUACACUUGUGGCUGAGUCUUGCCGAAGAUCUGUGGUGUCAUAAAGAAGCAGACAGUAAUGGACCAGCAUAACUAGGUGUUUGAUUUGUUUAGGACAUUCACAUCCAAAUGGCAUGAACACUAUAACAUCAAAAACAAUAUUGCAUGUUUCUUAAGAGAGCAGCACAAAGUAUAAAUAAUUUAAAGAGCAAAGUAAAGAGAUAGAUAAUAGGGAAAGGGGAAAUAGAAAUAGACAAAGAGAUGGAGGAGGCAGGAGGGAGGCGAGGAAAGGGGAAGAAGAAAGAAUUAAGAUGUGUGAUGUACAUGCACCAACUGCCCAUGAUGAGUGUAAUUAUUAUGUACUGCAAACAUGUACUAACAACACUUACUUAAAAAGAGAUAUGGGCUAAGUCUUUUGAAGUUUGAGUAAUAGACAAAGUGAGUCAAGGGUUCUACAAAUUUUAUUCAUAAAAAUAUUUUUUGGUUGUGAUUUCUAAGUAAGUAGCAAUGUUUGCUUUUAAAAACAGUCUCAGUUGUUUAUUCAGUUGAUCUUUUUCAUUUAAAAAAUUUGUUUCCAAGGCAAGGGCCUUUGUUGUUAUACAUUCUUUCAAAGCAUUAAAGUACUCGAAGAAAACGAAAGCUGGGAGCAUAUUGCUAACAUCAAAAGAGCAUCCGAGGAAUGCAGAAUUCCCGCUUUUGAGAAAGUGAUUUGGGCCCGACAUACAGGUCGAAAAAUCAAGAAAUGUUGCCAAAUAACAGACAACUCAUCUGCAAACACAAGAGUGCAUACUGGAAAUUGCUUGUAAAAUGAAAGCCAGCUGGCAUCACUAUAAAAAAGUCUUAGGAAAAAAGCCUCUUCAUCUAAUUCAUAAAUGGGAAAUUAAAUCUCCAGGCUUAACUGGCUCAGUUUUAUCUUUUUUUGUUUGUUUGAACUAUGCUUUGUUGGUUGAAUAACUGUGACAACAUUGAGACAGUUUGUGAGUAAAGCCAGGGGUGAUCUUUUAUAAAUAGUGUUAUAACUACUUCUCAAGAAAAGCCUUAGAUAAUACCAUGCCUGAACCCUUUGUGGAUGGUGCAGCCUCAGGCCAGUACAGUUGAUAAGCAGCAGAGGAAAUCUUCUGCCUAACUUAUGAGAUAUGUGUGUGCCUUCUGUGAAUAUAUAAUUAUAUGAUUAUAUAUACAGUAUACACACAAUCAGCAUUUAUUCCCAUACUCUUUUAUACUCUCUUCAGUACCAUAAGGGAGAAUCCUUUACUUUCACUGGUAUAAUUUAUGUAGCCUAUAAAAUGUAUACAUGUAAGAUUCCAAAGGCAGAACAGAAACUCAGUGAAUCUAUAUAUUAAAAAAUAAGAAUUUCUUUGGAAUAUAAAUAAUAUUUUCCCUGAUUUAUUGAUUUGGUAAGUCUAGAAUUGUAAAGAGAGUGCCCUGUUUGUUUAGUGUUUGGUGCAAUGAUUGAAUCUUUCAUUGAACAAAAAAGUGAAUGAAUCUUUUCUUCCUCCCUUUUGGGUUUACUUCUUAUAUGACACUGAGAGACUGAGCACAGUAUUUUGAGAUAGAUGACAAGGCAGUCACCUUUGAGUGGUACAGAUUUAGUAGCAACGGUAGAGUGUCUUAUUACAAUAUCUUUAGAGUAUGCCAUCCAAAAGUUCUCCCUCUGUGCCCUUAUGAUGAAAUCAAGAGAAUCAGGACUGAAGAUGCUGAUGGGGAGGGGAGGCAAGUGUGAGGAGGACAGCUUGUUUUCAUUUGAUCAAACAGCACUAGACUUGCAAAAAAGCAGUUGUAUUACUGAACAAUGUGAUGAUUCUCCCCAUGAAUCAUCCAAUAACCUCCAAGAAGCAUUCAAUCUGUCAAACUCUCAACAAGAUCUAGCUUUUGAUAAACAUAUUUACUUUAAUAGCAGUUCCUGAGAUGAAAGGUUCAGAUUUAUGGCUCCUAAUCUCUAUAACCUGAAAAUAUGAAAUAACUUCCCAGGAAGCUGCCUUGAAAAACUAUUCAAUUAAGCAAGAAUUACACUAGAAUCUUCUUUUUGGUUAAGACAUAUAAUGUUACUCAUUGAUUAAUCUCUUAUUCCUAAAAAUGAUGUAAAGAGGCUGGCUAUAUUAUACAUUGAAAAAUUCUGCCUGUUGGCCUAAUAUAAAAUGAGGAACUGUCCAAGAUGAACCCUAAGAUAUCUUCCAAAUCACAUCUUUUAUGAUACAAUUUCUGGGAGUCUGCCUCUCAAUAUUUUAUAACCAGGGGCCACACUAAGAUGAAACCUUAAUAAGAUUCCUCAUGUGGGGUAUAGAUAGAUCUUGGUUCAUCUUAGACUCUACCUGGUAUUUGCACUGUAGUGUUUCUGAAGUGUGCACAUAUCCACAGAGUGAUGUAAAUUUAAUUCCCUGGCAAAUUAGAUGACAAAGAUUUGUUUUCUGUUCUUGUGAUUAACUGGAUGAAUUUGGCAAAAGGUUAUCACUCAGUGGCAUAAAUUUAGUUAUGGGGAUGUUUAACUACAAUUUCUAUAUUAUAUGAAUUCUAAAAUUAGAUUUGAUGGGAAGGGAAGAUGGUUAAAAGGAUAGUAUAAUUUUCAAAUAGUAAAACCAGCAUUUGACCUGUGAGAAGGCAAUUCUAGUCUUAUUGAACAAUAUAGACUUUCUUCCCUGACUGACAGAUAUCCUUUUAAAGGCAAAGGUUCUCAAUUUUUUGAGAACUUUUAAUUAAUUAAGAUUAUUGGUACAUUUUAGGUUUACAUAAUGAUCACAUUGAUCACAGGGAGUUUGUACCUGUACAUGAUAUAUCUUGCUUCUUAUUUUUUCCCAUUCCCCUUCCUUCCCUUCAUCCUCUCCAUCCCUCCUUAUUUGCAAAAGCUUUGUUUCCAUUUUUCCUUCUUUUUUCAUUUUUUUCUUUCCUUUCCUUUCUUUCCCCAGGCCUCUCCCUAGUUCCCCUUCUCCUUUGAACAUUUUCAUCCUAUUUCACAAUAUCUAUUAUACAUUUUGG
ensembl:lncRNA